ensembl:lncRNA
UGUGCUACAGAGGAGGCUUUUGUUCUUAAUUGUAGAAGAAUAUAGUCCUAAAUAAACUGUCUGGAGAAUGUCUUCUAGCAUUAAGAAAUGGUGAAAUUUAUUUUGAAAAGUUUUUCAAGGGUGUAAUAAUCGCAAAAACAGCUUUCAGUAAUCUCACUAAGAUUGUUUCCAUGAAUGCUGAGAGCUGUGGACACUUGUGAACAUUCACGUAAUAACGUAAUACAAUGUCAUAAACAUGUGUCAGAGUCAGGGAAGGGACAGCAAAUUUGCAGCAGCCUAGAAAAAGAAAUAUCUGAAUAAAGAUAAAUGGCACUUACUUGUCAAAACAGAAUGAGGUUUAUAAAGAUGAGUAAUGGAGAUCAGCAUUAUCUCCAGGAGGUUCUCUGAUUUGCUUCAACCCUAUUACAUACACUCAAAUUUUGUGUGCUGUUCAGUUACAGGUAAGACUAAAAAGCCUAAUGUUCAAUUUUGGAGAUGCUGCCCACAAGAACAUUGGGUUGUGUUCCCACAUGCACAUAUGAGGAGGAGGAAAUGAAACAUCAAAAUGAAAAGAAAAUGGAAUUUCACACCAAUGGCUCUCAAGAGAAAACUGAAGAUUUAUUCAAAUAUUUAUCCUCAUUUUGUGAACUACUGACUCUCCUCAUCCAAACAUGCAAAUGGGAUUAAGCAUAGCUUUGGAUCUUAAACAAACAAACAGUCCAAAGUUCUUACUAUGGAAAUAAUCAUAUUCUUCACAUUUGACUUGAAGCUGAAUUAUUACCAGAAAAAAAUAGAUUGUGGCAUUACAGUGUGUUAGUAAAUAGUAGAUAGACACAGGAGGCUACAAAAAUAAAGUAAGAUUUUCUCCACAUAAUGUCCUGUAAAACAUGUACACUUCACCUUCAUAUGUGAUAAAAGACACAUUUGAAGUCAGAGAAAUUAGGAAAUCAGAGAAAGGAAUCGAUAGCAUGACAUUUAGAAAAGAAGUUUCUUCCUUGCUACCUAAUUCCAAAAGGAGAAAGAAAAUACCAUGAAGAACUUGUCCAUUCUAGAGGUGUUUUUGUUGCUCUUUAUUUCCUUUGUAAAACGAACAUCUUAAUCUGUUCACAGUUUGGCACAUUAGAUUCAUUUCAAUGACAAUUCUUCCAGAUAUCCAAGUAACAAAACUGAAGGAGAGAUGCCACAUCUCAUACUUCUUUCUAUCCUUGCCUAUUAACACACACCUGUGCUUAGAAAGGAAAUAUUAUUGGACCUCAACUAAGAACUUUCUUUUUUUUUUUCCUUAUCACACACUUGUUUAUCACAGUGUAAUAGUCACAGUCUUCAUGAGGUUUGGGCAUGAUUCUGAUCCUUGACAGCUGGAGACAUGCAACAUUUUUGGGGUUCUUUCGUCACUCAGAUUUGAUAAUAAAAAAAUGAAAAAUGUGUCUUCACAAUUUCUUUUCAAAGACAUUCCAAACAACUGGAAGUGGCUACUCAGGAUACAGGUAUAAGGACAGCUUUGCCAUUUGAAUAUCAAUAUUUUUAUUUUGUGUUUUCAUGUACAUCUGUCUGCUCGCAAUCUAAAUGCUGCAGUGAACACAGGAUGUACCGUGAACUAGAACUUCCAUUUGCUAGUAGAUUUUUUUUCAUAAAUGUUCUUUGUAGUCUAUAUGAAUAUGGGCAUUUUAAUUAUUGAUCAGAAGCAUUAUUUCUUAUUUGCAUCUGUGUUGUGGAAGAGUUCUUAAAAACUGAGCAGAAAUUCACGCACAUUUAGAUUAUUCUCUUUUCUGGCUGUUCAUUAGUUAAACGCUUAUGCAACACCCUUCCUUACAAACUGCACUACAUCUCUCCCAUUACUGCUCUGACAAAUCUUUCUGGGCCUGAUCUGCAGGCCUAUGAAGUCAAUAGGAGCCCAUCCAACAGCCCCAGCAGGCUUUGGGUCCAGUCUCUCUCACUUCCAACUUCUUAGUAAGAAAAAAUAUGCACAACACCAGAAGGUGUAAAAUAUGAAUCAGGUAAUAUUCUGUAAUGCAUGUGGGUAAAACAAUGGACUUUGGUCCACCUUUGUGACAAACAUGUCAAGAAAUCAGUGUGAUACCUGUUCACUGCAAAGUAGGAAUGAAAAUCCAGCAAAUAUUUUUGACAGAAGCUAAAUUUCCUUGGUUAAAAGGCUGUCUUUCUGAAAUGAAGUUUCUUUGAUACAUCUCUCUCACUUUGUUUUUUGCCCAGUCCCUUUACCUUUGAAAUAUAUUCUGCGCUGGCCAAACCCUCUUCCUCUGAAGUCAAUGGGAGUUUUACCAUUGAUUUCAAUGGGACAAUGAUCAUACACAGGUUGCAAAACACAGUGAGAAAAAAUAUCAUUGUCAAAGUUGAAAGUAUGAGAAACAUUCACACGAUUUGACAAUUCCACCGUAAAACCUCCAGCAUCAACCAGCUUUUCCGUGUGUUUCCCGCAACUCACGCCCGGCAGCGCAGGAUAACACAAAGCCCCGCGCCCCGGUGCCUUCAACACUCGGCAUCGGAGUUGAGCCCCAGUCUGCGAGGAGUUAGCACAGCCACGCGCUAAUCCGACAGCAAACAUUUUGCAAGCAUCAACCCUUCCCUAAGGGACGAGCAUUCUGCCGCCGGAGCCCAGGGAAGCGCAUGGGAGGGCGCAGCCAGGACGGGCAGCGGGCACCUGGCCGCUCCACUACUCAGGGUUUCCCGUAGAUUUUAAUAGAAGCUUGUGCUGGAAACAGGUCAAGAAGAAGGACUAGCCAUCAAACCAUAUUUUUAACAUAGCUACUGCAGUUCCCCACAGAGAACAUUUUUGUCAUUGUUCCUCAGACAUGAACUUGUUGGAUCUGACUGUGCUUUCAUCUUUCUAGUGCUAUCCAGAAGUAACUCGAGUGGAAGUACACAAAAUACAGGGAUGCGAGAGUGGUAUAAGGGAGAUUUAAAAUGGACUUGUGAAAGAAUUUCUCCUGCCUUGCCAUAUGGAUAUUGAUUUCUCUCCCUCAGGCAGAAUAUAAUUGCCUGCUCUAAUUUAGCAUUGAUCUACCCACCCAAGUUUCUUAAAGUGCUACACAGGCCUCAAUUAAAUUAUUCCUAAUACCACCUUUGUGAAGUAGGAUAGCUGUAAUUACUCACACUUAGAAAAUGGUGAGAGGUAAAAAGCGAUUUGUCCAAACCAUGCAGUGCAACAAGACACGAUUAAAGCAGGAGGCAAACAUACUAUGCCAUGUGCUGUACGUCAAAUUACCCUGAGUUUUUCUAAUAGCAAAAUAUUUGUUCAUCCAAUAUUUUGUGAUUCCAAUGAACCACACUUGGUUAGAUACUAAGUGUACCAGGACUUCUGUUGUUCUUAUCAAUACAUCUAUUUUCUCCUUCAUGAGACCUCUAGAGAUCAUUGAGUCCAGCCCCCUGCAAAGCGGGCCCCCUACAAAGGAAUAACACCUCUUGCUGCUGAAUUCAACAAAUGUGGUCUCGCCACUAUUUUUAAGUGUCAUUUUAUUUAUUAGUUCAAGAGAAACCAGCCAGACUGAUACUGAGGAGAAACAAGUACAAAGUAUUUUGUAUACACACCCAAUAGAUCAGAAAAAAUGCAGGUUUUAGCAACUGAAGGAGCCCAACACUAAGGCAACACAAGUUAGGUAAUACUUUGAAUCAGAUAAAAAUGAUAAAGUAGUGCUGAGUAUUUGGGUGACAAACUGAACUUAGUCAGGUCUUCUAUGCAACAUGUGACUUGAAUUCAAUGAGAAGAAACAAAUAGCUGUAGAACAAGUGAAGGCAAUGACAGAGCCUUUAUUUGAGAAAUAGGCACUAGAGGAAAAGAUAUCAGAAAGGAAUUGACUCACCCCUCCCGGUAACAGUGUGGAGAGAGGGACGAGCUGAGAAAUGCGACCCUCCCCGGUUCGUACUGUCGCGCCGCUGGAGAGAAGGGCAGGGGCAAAAGGGGGACCCGCGCAGACUCAGACUGCACAGGAAGUAUUGCAGAGACAGAAGGGGUGGCUCCAGAACCCCCUCCCCCCCCCCACUCCAGGCACCCACACACUCAUGUAGCCCACCCAUCGAUUCAGGCUGUGACUCUGGAAUUCCACUACAGUCGCCAACCAAACAAAGCCCAACCUAGCGCAGUAUUACCAGACUUGUAACCUAUGUAACUGUAGGUAACUACAGAUAAGUUCAAAUGUAAGAUAGAUAUGGCUUUUACAUGCUGAUUCUAGCUUUAUCUGAGAGAAAAAGAAAAUGAUACUGAUAUUGGAAAGCUGUACAAUAUUCACAAAACCUGUCAGCUAUACUACAUGGUGUUUCUUAAACAGAGAAACCACAAGAAGGUCAAUAGCAUGGUUUAUAUCUUUUGACCUUGCUUCGCUAUAUUACUUGACUUGAACCAUGUAAAAUGUUUGCAUUUUUGGCCAAGAAUUUCCAGUAUCGGAGUCCCCUCUGGGCCCUGGAUUGGUUAUAAACAAGUUUAUAGUGAGCCAAGUUGCUUCAGGUUUCACUGUUAACAUUCAAAGAAACUAGGGAUGUAAAAUUUGUUUUAGUAAUAGGAUCUAGCCUAGUAGUCUCUGUAGUCUUACUCUGACAGACAUCAGUUUGAAGAGCUGUUUGUGUCAGGCUGAGGCCUUGCUGUGACGAUAAUAGCAUAAAAUGAUCCAACAGAUCCAGGGUAAAAGUUUUGACUCCCUCUGAAAUAUACCUAAAUAAAUACUCCUUGCAUGUUUCUUAUCUAUAUGAUAAUGUAGACUUGUGUAAAAAGUUUGGACUCUGACCUUUCCAAAGGAUGAGCCUUGAAGCAAACUCUCCUGCUUUACUCCCAUUAGUCUACAUGUACUGCCUGACAAUACUGCAUUUUGCCAGAAAUAUCUUUGUGGUUAUACACUUAACCCAUGUUAAAGAAGAGGGAAUAAUGUCUGCCAGCAAGCAGACAAAAUAUAAGCCUAUCACUGUCUAUACUGCAAUUUAAGCUCUCCUAGAAACACUCUAGCGAUCUGAACUGCAAAGUAACUGUGAAGUUCCAGUGAGAAGUAGUUCAUAAUGAUGCCAUUUGCAGCAGCAUUUUCUGGCUCUCCAUGGCUUCAGCAUCACCCCAAAUGAGAAGAAAGUCUCUCCACUCCAUUCUGACUUUCUUGACUGUACUGAGAUUGUCCAUUUCCUUCUCUAGGGAUGUGGAAAUAAUACUGCCCUUGUACUGAUGUUUCUGUCCUACUGAAAACUGUAAAGCAAGUAGCCUCUAAGGCAAGGGGAAUACAGAAUCAAGUUUCUGGUCUGCUUUAUGGUACAAUAUGAACAUGAAUUUGCCAUAGGAAAAUAUUCAGCUACCAUUUCCCCCUUGAAUAAGAGCAGAUUUAGGGAAUAUAUGUUAACAGUUCUCAGGAAGCACAUUUUGUUUAUGUGAUGUUUAAAAAGAGAACUGUGCCUUUAAGUGUAACUAAGCGAGUAAUGAAAGUAAAUGCAAUUGUUAAUUUUCCAUUUUCAGAAGGAAAACUUUAUAUAUGUAGUCAAAUACACAAAAGGAAGCAUGGAUAGCUUAAAUGUAGCAAGAAGCAGUGAAAAAUUUUCAGCUUUAUGGUGUUUUCCAGGGGUCAAGGCAGAUAAUGGUUUCCUCUGAUAGAAGUUUCUUGGUCAAAGAAAAGCAUUUAAUAGCAGCAAUACCUGAAGCCCAUACUGUGCAACUUUAAGUAUCACCUGAGAUGGUGAACAGCUGGACAUAUUCACAGGGGCUUUUUUAUAUCCCUGGGACAUAAUGUCUUCUCUGAUCAUUUGCAAGAAAUAGAAAUGCUUUUCAUAUACAUGAGUUAAUACGCAUUUUAACUGGAAAAAGCAAGGUACUUAUCAGGAUAACACUGACAGGUGGCAGAGCAACUUGGACAGUACGAGAUAGAUAUUCUCAGCCAGCGGGUACCAAAAGAAAAUGGAAUAAUGCUGACUCGUGUAUGCUGAUCUGACUCCAAUUACAGCCACCUGAUUGUAUGAAAUAGGACAGUGGGACAACUAUUGCCACAAGUGCUUGUUUGCCCCAUUGGAAUUCCUUGAUUUUUCUUACAGUAUCCUUUCAAUCUCAAUAUAGCCAUGCUUUGUGCAGCAGCAUUCAUAAUUGCUUUCAGAUGGAGGAGCUGAGAAUAACACUUCUUUUUCUUGCCUGUGUGCAAAAGAACAAUAAUUGGAUUGUGAAUCAUGUAGCUGCAACUAGCCUGUUCAAAUGAAGACAGUAUUUUUUUCAGUCAUCCUGAGUCAUCUUUUCUUUUUAUACCAUUUUCCCCUUGUCACAUUUUUUUUCACCUUAUCCAUGGCCUAAAUAACCCCAAAAUAGCUCAAAGAUGAUGUAUCAUUCUUACUUUGUUAGCAGAUAAGUUUCAUGUGAAUUCUCUUUCUUACACUCUUUCACUCCCAAACAAAACAGGCACCCUGGUUAAACUUCAAUCUGAUUUUUUUGUAAUCUCAUUUUUUUGGAGAGCUAGAAAGUAUUUCAUGGAUGUGAAUACAUGGAUCCUUCUCAAUUUUCUUUCUUUCAAUCAUGCUACUUCACAAUAGAAAUGUCUUACUAAGACUGCUUACCAGCUUCACUAGCACACUUUAACCACUUUGGACUAUUUUUCUAAGUCAAAAUAGUCAGAAAUCUAAAUCCACUUUGCCAAUUAUUUUAGAUUUAUGGUUCUUUUGUGUUGGCAUGAACUACAGCGACUCAUAGCCACCUCUGCAUACAGGUAAUGUUGAUCCUUUAUAUUUUUUUUGUAGCUCUAAAUUUAUUAGUAAUAUUUCAGUACUGUGCCAGUAUCAGUUGCAACAAAAUAGCUGAAGUCAAAUUUAAAGUUUCCUUUAACUUCCUACUAAAACGUGCAUGUGCACACAUGAACUAUAAAUACACAGACAAGUCUUGAAAGAUGUACAUGAUUGCUAGCUUUAAUCGCCUCUCAGAAAGCUAAAAUUGUUUUUAAAAACCCUCUGUAUUAUCUGAUAAUGCAUGGGUCUUGCUGCGGUUUGUAUUAAGUGUGAGUUUCUCUCUCACAAAAUAAUGUACCAGAUCUCAAGGUUGGCUGUAGGACACACCAUUUUAGCUAAUAUCACACAGGAGAUCAGUUAUUUCCCAUUGUGAUUCCCAAUUGGCAUCUUGCAGUGAGCUUGUUUACUGCUCUGCAGCAAAAUAAAUUGUCUGCUGUUAAGUAUUUAAAAAAAAAAAAAAAAAAAAAACCUGCAUAAAAAUACUGUUAAGUCUCUGACUUAAGCUGACAAAUUCUAGGGAAGACUAAAUUAAAGAUAAAGUAUCAGUACAGCACUUGUUAUGUACAGCAGUAUUGCCCUGGAAUGGAAAAGGGAGUCAGGGCAGGUAAUAGCUUUUGUCUAGCUAUUACCAUGACAGGCUUUUACUUGGAUUCGGAAUAGCAAGAGCUCUCUAAAAGUCCUUCUUUCCUUAUUUAUUGUUUUCCUUUUCAGACAUGAACAAAACAGUGCAAAUGGGUCAGUACUUUUAAGCUAGCUUAUGGCACAAUAAUGAUUUGAAAUGGUUGAGCUGGAAGAAGAAUAGUAUUUGUAAUGGAGAUGUUGACUGAGCAAACCAACAGUGCAAUUAUAAUAUUGACUCUGUGAUAGAAUCAGCACUUCAGGAGAACAGCAAGCCUCCUUGACUUGAGGGUCUCUGGAUUAACUGGUUUUAAAAGGCAUUGGUCGAAAUAUGAAUGCUACACAAGUAACAUUAAGAAAAAGUAGUGUAAUAAUACUUUUGCUUUCUCUGUGCCAACAAAAUCCUGAAAGACACCCAGUGAGAGAAAUAUAAUUUAGACAUUACUCUGAAAAAAAAAAAAAAAAAAAACAAGGCAAGUAAAACCAAACAGAGAAUAUGUUCUGCACUGUGAAGAAUCAGAAAAGGAACAUAUUCUUGCUUCUGAGAAAAGGUAGAAGCAUAAGAAUAAAUGUAUAGAUGGCAGAUGAAAAGUGCUCUUCAAGAAGUGUGGACUUGGAAGAGAUGCCAAAGGAAUGCUGAUAAAGCUGUGAAACUAAAUAGGAAAAAAGUGAUUAGGAGAGUGCACUGGCUCUUUCUGGGAUGGAGGUCUGUCAACAAAACACUGCUGAUAACACAAAGAAGUCAAAGUCUUCUCUGUUUCUCACUCUGCCCUACUAGCUAGUAAGCUGGGAUAGUGCAAGAAGUUGGGCGAGGAUGUGACUAAGCAGAUGUCCCAAAGUAACCACAGAGAUAUAGCAUAACGUCAUGCAAUGAAAAGGGAGAGGAGGGGGUUUGUGGAGGAUAUUCUUUUCCUUGGAAACUAGCUGGGCAUCCAUCCACCUGCUGGGGUUGGUGAGAUACUGCUUUUGCAUAGCUUUUUUUUUUUUUUUUUUUUAAGAUUUUUCUUCUCUCUUCUUGCAUUUCUCCUUCACAUAUUAGACAUUAUUUUUUCAAUCUUGAACAACAAGUUUUCUUACUUAUACUCUUCUUUUUUUUUUUUUUUUUUCUUUUCCCAUUGCUCUGAGUGCAGAGAGUGAGUGAGUGGCUGUGUAGUGCUUAGCCGCUUACUGGAGUUAUUCCACAACAAGGAGAGAACAAAGAGUAGUCUUUGUUGGAUAAACAACAUAUCUAGGACAAUAAUAAUAAUAACAAAUAGUUACAUCUGGCAAUAUUAUGCAUUUUGAUAAUCUCUUGCAGAGGCAACAAAAAUCAAAGAAUAAAUCUAAUUGCAUUCAUAUUUUUCAUAACUUUCAGAUCCAUGGAAAGACUAAUAUAACAAAACUGUCCCUAUCCCACCACGCAUCUCCCCUCCCAGUGCUGCUUCCAGGACUACAGAAUCUUGUGUGGGUCAGAAGACAAAAUCCUGAGCAGCCUACAUAAGGGAAAGAAUAGUUGUCGUCUCAUUCAUUUGAUAAAAAUGGAUCAUCUUAUUCAAAGCUAAAGCAUAUUGGUGGAAAAGAAAAACUAUUUGCAGAAGUGGUAUUUCUACCAGUUACUAUUCUAGGCUCAGAUGCAAAUCACCAGGCACAGAACACUUAAAUCAGGAAAGUCACUUACAUUGUGUAUGGACAGUAGAAAAAAUAGCACCUUCAGACCACUAGUGUUCUAAUUUACUCGUGGAAAUGUCUUUCUCUGUUGGCAGCUACAUUCCGAAAAUAGACAUAAUCAGCAAUAUAAGGUGAAGGGAUUGGAAUAUGUGUUCUAAAUUUAGCUAAUUGUCCUUGCUCUGUGUCACCGUGUUUAUUUAGUGCUUCAAUAAUUGUAAGAGUUUCUCUAUGCGGGGACUCUUCCCAAUAAAAAUCUAUCCUUGUGAAGCUGCACAACUUCUUCACAGGCUCUGUAUGGAACAGUUGCUAUUUUUCAGUAAGAAUGUGGGUUGCAGCUGUAGAGAACAAAGUUUGGCUUCUAUUUUCAAAGCCUGAGGCUCUUGUCUGCAAAGACAACCUCUUGCUGCUUGAGUUGUGCAGUGUUUAAAUAAAAGUAAUCUCAGUGUUAAAUUCAAGCUCUCCAUGCCAUAGCAAUGAAAAUAACACACUGUGCCUGGGAAUUGCUUGUAGGGCUGGAGCCAUGCUGCUGCAAGCAGGUGUGUGCAUACAAAUAGUAAGCAAGGGGAUAGGAGCCCUCAGAGAACACUGGACUUUUUGUGUUUCCUGGAGAUUAAGUGGCUCAGCAGUUCAGUCAUUGUUGCAGCAAUGGGUGACUAGAUGAAUUCAUCUGCUUCCAUGAAUAGAUCCUGGGAGACCACUAAGAGAAUUUUUCUUCAUAUUUUCUGGCUAAUUCUGCGUAAGAUGCUUUCACACAAAAAAACACUACUGUCACUGAACUAAUUUCACCCAGUGUUGCAUUUCCUUAUCAAUAGAUAUUACACGUUGCUCUUAUUCAAAUGAAUAAACCAACAAAAAUUUAAAGUACUCAAAGAGCACAGGAAAAGGGGGAAAACGGGGGAAAAAAGAAUAUAUAUCUCUGUCAAUACCCUGUGGUUACACAUAUGCCUUAGUGCCUCUCAUACAUUCCCUGCCCUUGGGCCUGGGCACCCCAUUUCAGCUCUGCCUGCAGUUGCUGCUGAGCUGUGUUUCAGACAUAUCUUUGCCUUGUCCUCAUUUUGCACAUUGUUUGAAUUUUAUGUGUUGGUGCAACCUUGCACCUGACUCACCAUCUCACAUUUGUCUCACCUUCACUGGACUGUUUAUAGGAUCUGCAGCUGUCACCUCCCUGAUCUGCUCACCAUCUUCAGGUCAUAUGAGAUGGUGAGGACAUGGCCUGAAGACACUCAGAAAAAAAAUAUCUUAAUUUGGGAUAUUUGGGUCUUAUUAUUUUGAUGGGAGAAAUUAUGUGGUAAUAUGUUGUAUUAUGCUGUUGAUAUUAUCUUUGACUUGUACUACCGUAAUUUCACAGUUUCUACUCAUUUUCAAUGUUCACUGUUUCAUUCUUGUGUGGAAAUAUUCCACUCUGUAUUUCUUUCAAGAUGAUUCUAGCUGGUUUAUAGUCUCAUUUAACAUGCAAGAGAACACUCUUCUAAUCACUGAUUCUACAUCCCAAAAUAAAACCAAGAAUCCUUAUGCUUACAGUUUGGUUAAUACAGACUUAAUUUAGAAGUUCAAAGUUUUAGUGUACUGAAAUAUAUAUCAUUAGAGCUCUAACGUGCAACAUCUGCUUACAACUGAUAAUGCCACCCUUUUGUAAGUGAACAUUCAAUCCUAACUCAUUAUGCUUCUCCAAACAAGAUAUAAGCCUGAAACCUAGGAAGGAGAUUUGCUUCUGUUCACAGAGAUUGAUGCAAUCUGUAAUUAGAACCCCAUACUCUUCCCAGCUGCUGCUGUUGGC